rnacentral:rRNA from 1 species
GACGAACGCUGGCGGCGUGCUUAACACAUGCAAGUCGAACGAAGAGCGAUGGAAGCUUGCUUCUAUCAAUCUUAGUGGCGAACGUGUGAGUAACGCGUAAUCAACCUGCCCUUCAGAGGGGGACAACAGUUGGAAACGACUGCUAAUACCGCAUACGAUCUAACCUCGGCAUCGAGGAUGGAUGAAAGGUGGCCUCUAUUUAUAAGCUAUCACUGAAGGAGGGGAUUGCGUCUGAUUAGCUAGUUGGAGGGGUAACGGCCCACCAAGGCGAUGAUCAGUAGCCGGUCUGAGAGGAUGAACGGCCACAUUGGGACUGAGACACGGCCCAGACUCCUACGGGAGGCAGCAGUGGGGAAUCUUCCGCAAUGGACGAAAGUCUGACGGAGCAACGCCGCGUGAGUGAUGACGGCCUUCGGGUUGUAAAGCUCUGUUAAUCGGGACGAAAGGCCUUCUUGCGAAUAGUUAGAAGGAUUGACGGUACCGGAAUAGAAAGCCACGGCUAACUACGUG